rnacentral:lncRNA from 1 species
UCUGUGUCGAAUCUGUCUGCAAGAUUCAGAUCGGUGGAGAGAAAGCGUUUUGUAUCGAAGGUAUUGUUUCCCAGAUUUCUAUAUUUUGUUGGGGUUUUUGUUUUCUCUUUUGAUUCAUGUUAUUGACUCUGGGUUUCGGAAAUUGGGAAUUGAGUUUUAUUGUAGUUUUGAUUAUGAGUUUGUUCUGUUUAUGCUUAAUUAAAGAGUUGGCUAUCUGCCGAGGCCUUUAA